rnacentral:tRNA from 1 species
GAGGGUAUAGCUCAGUGGUAGAGUGUGUGCUUAGCAAGCACGAGGUCCUGGGUUAGAUCCCUGGUACCUCCA